AUUGAACGCUGGCGGCAUGCCUUACACAUGCAAGUCGAACGGCAGCACGGGUGCUUGCACCUGGUGGCGAGUGGCGAACGGGUGAGUAAUACAUCGGAACAUGUCCUGUAGUGGGGGAUAGCCUGGCGAAAGCCGGAUUAAUACCGCAUACGAUCUACGGAUGAAAGCGGGGGACCUUCGGGCCUCGCGCUAUAGGGUUGGCCGAUGGCUGAUUAGCUAGUUGGUGGGGUAAAGGCCUACCAAGGCGACGAUCAGUAGCUGGUCUGAGAGGACGACCAGCCACACUGGGACUGAGACACGGCCCAGACUCCUACGGGAGGCAGCAGUGGGGAAUUUUGGACAAUGGGCGAAAGCCUGAUCCAGCAAUGCCGCGUGUGUGAAGAAGGCCUUCGGGUUGUAAAGCACUUUUGUCCGGAAAGAAAUCCUUGGCCCUAAUACGGUCGGGGGAUGACGGUACCGGAAGAAUAAGCACCGGCUAACUACGUG
rnacentral:rRNA from 1 species